GCCAGUUCCGGCGGGAUGGUACCGGUGAGCCCGUUGUAGUCGAGGAUGAGAUGCUCGAGCUUGCGCAUAUUUUCCAGGGAUGCCGGAAUCUCGCCCUCCAAGAAGUUCUGCCACAGGAUGAGGUCCCGGAGCUCCCCGAGCUUCCCGAGGGAUGCAGGGAGUGUGCCGUUGAUGUUGUUGAGGCUGAGGUCGAGAGAUUCGAGCCUGGUGCAGUUGGUGAUUGACUCCGGGAUCGCGCCGGAGAGGUAGUUGUUCUGGAGGUACAGCAUGCGGAGGCUGGAGUUGGGGUCUUGGCAGAGGGAGGAAGGGAUGGUGCCGGAGAAAGCGUUGGAGCUG
rnacentral:lncRNA from 1 species